rnacentral:rRNA from 1 species
CAGCGCCUAACACAUGCAAGUCGAGCGGAUGAACGGUAGCUUGCUCCUGGAUUUAGCGGCGGACGGGUGAGUAAUGCCUAGGAAUCUGCCUAAUGGUGGGGGAUAACGUUCGGAAACGGGCGCUAAUACCGCAUACGUCCUACGGGAGAAAGCGGGGGAUCUUCGGACCUCGCGCCAUUAGAUGAGCCUAGGUCGGAUUAGCUAGUUGGUGAGGUAAUGGCUCACCAAGGCGACGAUCCGUAACUGGUCUGAGAGGAUGAUCAGUCACACUGGAACUGAGACACGGUCCAGACUCCUACGGGAGGCAGCAGUGGGGAAUAUUGGACAAUGGGCGAAAGCCUGAUCCAGCCAUGCCGCGUGUGUGAAGAAGGUCUUCGGAUUGUAAAGCACUUUAAGUUGGGAGGAAGGGCAGUAAAUUAAUACUUUGCUGUUUUGACGUUACCAACAGAAUAAGCACCGGCUAACUUCGUGCCAGCAGCCGCGGUAAUACGAAGGGUGCAAGCGUUAAUCGGAAUUACUGGGCGUAAAGCGCGCGUAGGUGGUUCGGUAAGAUGGAAGUGAAAGCCCCGGGCUUAACCUGGGAACUGCUUUCAUAACUGCCGAGCUAGAGUACGGUAGAGGGUAGUGGAAUUUCCUGUGUAGCGGUGAAAUGCGUAGAUAUAGGAAGGAACACCAGUGGCGGAGGCGACUACCUGGACUGAUACUGACACUGAGGUGCGAAAGCGUGGGGAGCAAACAGGAUUAGAUACCCUGGUAGUCCACGCCGUAAACGAUGUCAACUAGCCGUUGGAAUCCUUGAGAUUUUAGUGGCGCAGCUAACGCAUUAAGUUGACCGCCUGGGGAGUACGGCCGCAAGGUUAAAACUCAAAUGAAUUGACGGGGGCCCGCACAAGCGGUGGAGCAUGUGCUUUAAUUCGAAGCAACGCGAAGAACCUUA